rnacentral:ncRNA from 1 species
AUUGAGAAAUCAUUGGUGUGUUUGGACAGAAGUCAGCAGAGGCCAUAGUAGCCGAACGCCCGGAGUAAUGACCGGGACAUGGUGAAGGGC